GACGAACGCUGGCGGCGUGCCUAAUACAUGCAAGUCGAGCGAAGUUUUUCUGGUGCUUGCACUAGAAAAACUUAGCGGCGAACGGGUGAGUAACACGUAAAGAACCUGCCUCAUAGACUGGGACAACUAUUGGAAACGAUAGCUAAUACCGGAUAACAGCAUUAACUGCAUGGUUGAUGUUUAAAAGUGGGUUUUGCUAACACUAUGAGAUGGCUUUGCGGUGCAUUAGCUAGUUGGUGGGGUAAAGGCCUACCAAGGCGACGAUGCAUAGCCGACCUGAGAGGGUGAUCGGCCACACUGGGACUGAGACACGGCCCAGACUCCUACGGGAGGCAGCAGUAGGGAAUCUUCCGCAAAGGGCGAAAGCCUGACGGAGCAACGCCGCGUGAGUGAAGAAGGAUUUCGGUUCGUAAAGCUCUGUUGUUAGGGAAGAAUGAUUGUGUAGUAACUAUACACAGUAGAGACGGUACCUAACCAGAAAGCCACGGCUAACUACGUG
rnacentral:rRNA from 1 species